rnacentral:rRNA from 1 species
UACGGAAGGCAGCAGUGGGGAAUAUUGCACAAUGGGCGAAAGCCUGAUGCAGCUAUGCCGCGUGUAUGAAGAAGGCCUUAGGGUUGUAAAGUACUUUCAUCGGGGAGGAAAAACAAAACUAAUAAUUUUAUUUCUUGACGUUACCCGAAAAAGAAGCACCGGCUAACUCCGUGCCAGCAGCCGCGGUAAUACGGAGGGUGCUAGCGUUAAUCAGAAUUACUGGGCGUAAAGAGCACGUAGGUGGUUUUUUUAAGUCAGAUGUGAAAUCCCUGGGCUUAACCUAGGAACUGCAUUUUGAAACUGAAAUACUAGAGUAUCGUAGAGGGAGGUAGAAUUCUAGGUGUAGCGGUGAAAUGCGUAGAUAUCUGGAGGAAUACCUGUGGCGAAAGCGGCCUCCUAAACGAAUACUGACACUGAGGUGCGAAAGCGUGGGGAGCAAACAGGGA